rnacentral:lncRNA from 1 species
UUGUCAAUCAUGAAGACGAAUAAACCAGCAGAACUGAGGAGCAAAAUGAAGGUAAGAAGCAUUGAGCUAAUUAAGCAAUAUAUAAAAAUACUCAACCUCUCUCCUAUGUAAAAUGCAGAUCGAAAGAAGACAGCUGUGUGAGGCAUGGCCUUGUGGGAACUGGGAGAUCAUCUAACCCCUUGGUAUCCUAAGGCAACUCACUGGAAGUCCAGAAUGUUCUGGAAGA